UGGAAACAUACAUCUACAUCCAGACAAUGAAAUAAAUGGAUGACCGACGGUCAGUUGUACAUAGUUACACAGCACAGUUUGGAGCAUAUGUAGGGUAUGUAUGCUUGUUUUCUUGUAGCAUCAUUUUGAUGUAUUUGUUCCUCUUUUUACACAUGCCUUUCUGUAUCUAUACUCUCAGUCCCAACAUGGUUACCAUGGAAACGUACAUCUACAUCUAGGCAGUGGUAUAAUGGAUGGCCAACGUUCACACGGACAGAGUCAUACAGCAGACUUUUGAGCAUAUACGGUGUGUAUGUUUACUUUUUCUUUCUUGUGGCAACGCAUUGAUAUAAUUGUAUCUGUUUUUACACAUGCCUAUCUGUAUCUAUAUACUCCAAUCUGACUAAAGUAUAUCUUCAAUUAACGCUGCGCUUUGGAUCUGAAGACGUGCUAUUGAUAGACUCGUUCUGACGAACCUUCCGCUAGCCAAUCAGAGUCUUGCUUUCAACAUUUUGAAUGUUUAAAAAACCUAUAUUUAGCAUGGGUUUUUCAUUUUUUUAUGACGACCACAUCAUUACUGCGCCCUCGUGUUUUGAGAGGUAUCAUAUGUCACGGUACGUACUUGGUCACGUAAGUGGAGUAUAUGUGUCAGGCAGCUGGUUAGCUCAGUCGGUAGAGCACUCGCCCUGUAAGCGAGGGGUCCCGGGUUCGAGCUGCACAUUUUUCUCACCCUGUAACAUUCGACGCUUUUUUGAUGGUUCAGCCAAAUGCUUGUUGAAACGAGUCGUCUGGCUGGUUCAAAUAAAUAUAGAUUUGCUAAAAUAAAAAUAGCAAUAUCGGAAAUCCAAAAAGAUGAAUGUGAAUAGGUCAUCCUUAGAUCUUCGUUUAGAAGAUCAAGUACUUUAGUCAGAUUGCUAUAUACUCAAUCUGAACAGGGUUACCAUGGAAACGUACCUCUUAAUCUUGGCAUUGGUAUAAAUGGAUGACCGACGUUCACGUGUACAAAGAUAUACAGCAGAUUUUGGGAGUUUAUUGGAUGUGUGUGUGUUUAUUUUUUAUUUCUUGUGACAACGCUUUGAUAUAUAUGUUUGUUUCUGCUUUUUAUAUACCUUUCUGUACCUAUACACACAACAGGGUUACCAUGGAAACGUACCUCUACAUCUAGGCAGUUGUACAAAUGGAGACCAGAAUUUGGAGCACAAAGGGUGCGAGUGUGUUUACUUUUUUUCUUGUGGCAACACUUUGAUAUGUUUGUUUCUGUUUUUUUAACACAUGUACCUUUCUGUAUCUAUAAACUCAACAGGGUUACCAUGGAAACAUACAUCUAAAUCUAGGCAACGGUAUAAUGGCUGGCCAACGUUCAGAUGUACAAAGUUAUAAAGGAGAUUUUUGAACAUGUAGGGAGUAUAUGUUUACUUUUUCUUUAUUGUGGCAAUACUUUGAUAUGUUUGUUUCUUUGCUUUGCACAUGCCUUUUUGUAUCUAUGCACACAACAGGAUUACCAUGGAAACUUACAUCUACAUCAUGUAGGCAAUGGUAUAAUGGAUGACCGACGUUCAGAUGUACACAGUAAUACAGCAGCAUUUGGAGCAUUUUUGGGAGGUGUGUAUGUUGCCUUUUCCUUCCUUGUGUAAACACUAUAUGUUUUUUUUUCUGCUUUUACACAUGUCUUUCUAUAUUUAUACACUCAACCUCAACAGGAAUACCAUGGAAACUCACCUCUACAUCUAGGCAAUGGUAUAAAUCAAUGACCGGCGUUUAGUCGUACAAAGUUAUACAGCAGAUUUUGGAGCAUAUAGGGUGUGUAUGUUUACAUUUUCUUUCUUAUAGCAACACUGACUUAUUUGUUUUCUAUUUGUUUCUGUACAAAUGCCUCUAUACACACAGGUUACCACGGAAACUUACAUGUAGGCAGUGGCUGACGCCCGAGUCUACAAACAGCAGUGAGAGAAAUCUUGCAACCGACCAUGUGAUAACGCUUAGCUUUAAAUACUGAGCUUUGCUAAGAAUUCAGGCAAAACUUCAAGUUAAACAAAAAUCUGAAUGAUAUGUGCGCAUAUGGAGAACUCAGUCUACCUUGUAUGUUUUUGUUUCGUUAAAAAUAUGUGUUCGGUAUUUACUGUUUUGUCAGGGAUUUGUUUACAGUGGGUACUUGGUUGUGUUUGUGGUGGUGUUUGUGUGUUUGCUGUGGUGUUUGUGGCGGUGCUUUAGUGUUUGUAGUGGUGUUCGUGGUGUCUUCGGUGUUUUCUUCUCGAUUGUAAACGAUGUGGCUUGUGUUGUUUUGUCAAAAUUGGUUUUUGUUGGGGCGUAUUGUUUAUCGAAUUGGGUUCUUCGUCUUUCGUUCCGCUACAAUGUAUUUUAUUUUUUUACCAUUAGCACUAUAUUUUUUUUUUACUAGAUUUAUUCUUGUACACAAUUAUAAGAAUAGUUAAAUAUUAUGGUGUGUUUUAAAAAAAAGUUUUGUCCCAUCAAUUUUAGAUAUCUGCAGAGACGUACCAUGAAAUGCAGAAAAUACGACAGACAUAAGAUGCAGACGACAUCUGAGUAAGCGCGCGCAACUUUUCUAUUUUAUGUCUACUUUUAUUUUGUUUUGUAUUGCUAUUUUAUUCAUUUAGAAUGUUGGGGUACUUCGAGAAAAAGGCCGCAGACGGAUAUGGAAAAGCAGAUCAACAAGAUCUUCAUAAUGAAAAGGUGUGUAUAUUUCUACUAAGAUUAACCUAUUCUGUGUGCAUUUCUCUGCAGAUUUUUCCAAAAUGGUGGCUGAUAUUGAAUACAAGCCCGUGUGAAGAUAUCAUGGUGUGAAUAUCGCAUUGGUCUAGUGGACGGUGCAGCUAUGGUAACUGAUGUUGACUAUACAAGCGCGUACAAGGUUGUCAUGUUGUAGAUUUUACAAUGGUUUAGUGGACGGUGCAGCCUGGUCCUUUUCUCGGACGCAAUGAGUGUAAUUUAAAGGCUUACGAAUGCGCAUACAUUUCCUGGCUUUGGUGAAAGUAAAACUCAAAGUAUCAGACGAUAACUCAAAACUUUUCGAUGAGAAACUCGAACUGUCUGACGAUUAACACGAACUGUCCGACGAGAAGCAGUUUCCUGUACCAUACACGAUGAUGGAGCUAUUACAUUUGCCGCAUGACUGACUUGCUGGUGGUACCAUAAAAUGUGCACUGGUAUCCAAUCGAUAACGGUCACCAGAGACGCGCUGGUACACUAUCGAUGCAGGUCAACAUAGUAAUCAACUGUUUUCAACAAGAUAUAUUUCAAGUACAGAAGUGAGAAAUAUCUGCAAAGGGAAGAUCCAAGUAUGACGAUUACACGACAGACCAGGCACAAGCACAUAAGCCUGACACCAUCACAGCUGCCCUGACACAAACCUAGUUAAACAAAUUAGACAUAAGCUGAUAUGUACAUAAUUAUAACCCCAUGUACAAAGUAUUCGGGGCUAUAUUGGAGUCACACAUGUCCGUCCGUCCGUUUGUCCAUCCAUCCAUCAUGUCCACUACAUAUUGUCUAAAUGGCUUGGAAGAUAUUUAGCUCGACUAAUCGAAGAAUAAGGGGGUUAUCGUACUUGCCCUGGCGACGGCGGCACCCUCACCGAUGCAUUCAAGUUAAAACAAGCUUCUCAGUGUCAUUCUAUCUUCCUAACUACUUCCCCUAUUAACAUCAAACUUCACAUAAGUGUUAGUCUUGAUAAGGGGCAUACAUCUGUUAGCUUAAGAGUCAGACAUCCUAAACGUCAAGGUCACUGGGUUAAUAUUUUGAUAGAGCUGGUUAAAGUUUUACGACAAGCUUCUCAUUUCAAUAUAUCUUCUUAGCUACUGCCCUUUAAUCAUUAAACCUUACAUGAGGAUUAAUCUUAUAAGGUGACAGAAAUCAUUUGGUUUAGGGUCAGGUAUCUCAAAGGUCAAGGUCACUUGGGUCAGAUUUUGUAAUAAUGUUGGUUAUAGAUUUAUGGCACCCUUAUUAAUCCGAUAAUGUUAAUGAAACUCAUGUUUCUUAGCACUGGUAUCCCUCAUAUCCUACCCAUACUUCGUCUACACCAAUUCGAACACCUACCCAAAAAUACAUUUCUUGCACAAUGUCAUAUCUGAUAUUCCCCUCAUCUCUGCUACCCACCUGUCUUCAUGUACCUCCACCAACCUCCUUUCACCAACUCUCGCCCCAAACAAAAAAUAUUUUACCUUUUCUUUACAAUUAAUUAGAUUGUAUAUGCUGUAUCUCAUAUGUUUAUAUGAUGUUUAAGCCAGUAUCCUUUAUUCCCUCGCUUCUAUUCCCACCCCCACCCACUUCCAUUUUUUUCAUAUAUUUGUUAACAUCUCUCACAUAUCUAAUCUCAUACCCCAUUCCCUAUUUGCAGAUGCACUCUCGCUUUCUUUUAUAUUUAUUUUACAUCUUUCACACUUAUUUAUAUUUCAUGUGGAAUCUUAGUAUCCCUCAUAACCCCUACCCCACCCUCGCACACUGCUUCCCCUAGCAUUUCCGCCUUACAUUUCUCACACAAGCUUAUAUCUCAUAUUGUUUCUUAGAUUCCCUCAUUCCAAACUCCCGUCGCACCUACACCCCUCUCUCUCUCUCUCCCCCCCCCCCCGGGCAAAAAAAGAAAAGAAAAGAAAAAAAUCUUUUUUCAUCUCUCGCGCGUACUAAUGUAAUAGUAAACAUUGUCGCAUAGUAAAGCGGGCACAACUCUACUCAUUAGGUCCAAGGUCAAGGUCACACUUGAAGGUCAAAAGUCAUGAAAGCGGCAUCUGGGGUAUUAAUUAAUCAUCUUCAGUGACUGAGAGCUCUAGCUGGUUACGCGGCUUAAUGUGUAACAUCAGCUUAAUUGUAUCAAUUAUUUGACAAGUGUUUGCUAAAUUUUAGGAUAAAUAUUUUCAUUGAAAUUAAUAAAAUUAUUCAUUUGCGGAUCAUUGAUACUGUCAAACUAUUUUCAUACGAAACAAAUACUUCUGGCUUGAUUUGUUAUUGCUCAUGAAAUUAUAAAUCUUUAUUUUUAUCAGGUUAUUUUUUAUUUUUUACGAACACAAAAUGCACAUUUGACUUAAAAAAAAAAUCAGGGGCAGCCAAUAUUUGUAAGAAGUCAAAAGAAUACUGAUUUGGUCAAUUAUUCGCGUCUCAAAAUGUUACUCCUUUUCACUCCUUUAUAUUUGAUGCACAUUUUAUCAAUGUGUUAAUCACAUGCAAUGCGCAACGUUACGCUUACUGUUAUGGCAAUAUAUAUGUUGAAAAGAUAAUAUAGUUCUACGAAAUUGAUUUCUUUUUCAUUUUAAUAUAGUUAUUUUCUACUAGUUUUUAACAAACAAAAAAAAAUACCGAUAUGUGUAAUUCAUAUUCUUUCGCGUUAAAUUGAUGUUGCGUGCAAGUGAAAAUUGUAUUUGGAAACAGUGGGUUUAUCAGGGUAUAAUGUAUCGUUAUGUUUCAGUAAUACUCUGAAAGCUUGACAUGAAAUUCCAUACUCUAGUAACUACAAAAUGUACAGAUAAAAUCAUAGCUCUUUUAUUCAAACACCCAUACUAUCGUCUUGUGUCUGUGUCGUCUAAAUGUAGCUUUUUAGAGUCAUUUUGGCCUCAUUUCUUGUACACUGAAUUUGACACUGUUUGAUAUAACUGUUAACCGACACCUAAUUCUGAGUACUAAUAUUAACCCUUGGGGGCUGAAAUGACUUUUAAAGCAAUUUUGUCUUUUAAAGGAACAAUGUGUUAAACUUCAGACUGGUAUAUCUUUAGGAAUGAUUGGUAAAAAGAUGCACUGAUCUAAUGUUUAGUAGAAUUAUGGGCAAACCUUAAGGUUUUUAGUCCGCGCUUUUAAAUGAUUACUGGAAUGUAACGUUAGAUUAAAACAUGCUAAACUCAUUGCUUCAAACGGAGAGAAAUACAAAUUUGUAUUUAUAUGUUUUUCACUAGAACGGAACUACACUUGAACACGAAAGGAUAUGAAUUGUAAGCACUGGAAAUGUGCUUCAAAAAGUCAAAGAUGUAUAGAUCUAGUAAUGCUUACAAAAUCACUAAAAUACACACCAAACGAUUAAAAUGUAAAAGAAACAUAUACAUCUCGUAGACCUAUUUUACUUUUAUAACAAAAGCAUUGUGACGUCAUGAAAUACAGCGUGACGUUACGCAUGGCGCAUGUCUCUGCGCGGUUUAAUAAGAUAAGACAAGAUAAGAUAAGAUUAGAUAAAUCUAUUUUAACUCGGCAAGAUAUAAAAAGAUAUAAAACAAUACAUCAUAACACGCUAUGUACCCGGAUAAUCCUAACUCUGUUCAGCGACCCUAACUCAGUGCCAACAUGGCUGACAGAAAGACGAUGUAUGCAGUUAAUUUCCUUGUCUUUUUUUCAUGUUUUUAUGUUAGUAUGCAAUGUUAGCGUAAAACUUUUGAUAGUCAUAAUAUCCUGUAUUGAUAACAUGUUUUGUGUACUAAAUAUUUCAAUCGAAAAGUCACAUUAUGUGGCUGGAAUUCAUUAAAAUGUACUCAAAGAAGUCUUCAAAAUGAACAUGUUUUAUGUUUCUAACUGUUUUAAAGUACCAGAAAUUGCAGUAAGACCUUACUUAUCAACUGUAUUAGUUCCAUAAACAUCUCUUUGACAAUGUUUAACAGUAUCAAAGUUUGAAAUUGAUUUUUAUAGCUUAAAAAUUGUAUUGAUUAUCAGGUGGGUUUAAAUUUGCGGAUAAUUCCUAACUGGUAUAGGAAACAGUGCUGGAUAAAUACGAACUUAGAAUUGAUAAACACCUAACCAGACUAAAACAUAGCUGUUCGUCUGUGCUUUAUUUAUGGACUGUAGAUCUUUGACCUACCCACCCCUGCAGGGAUGUGGGAUUCCUAUGUCCAGCCGUUAUCCGACUCGUGAUUUUUUGCCGGCGGACAAGUGCAUUUUUCAUUCUGUGUGUCCGCGGUCAAGCAUACUUUUUCAGGUAUAAAAUGAGAAAACAAAAAAAUAUCAUUUAGAUUGUGUGUUGCUUCAAGUGUAUGGAGGUGAUAAAGAUAAUGGGUUCUUUGACUAGGUCUCGCGCACACUGUAACUCGGUGACUAUGAUAAAAUAUCAGAGAAGAUUUAGAUACAAGAAGAUUUAUUUAACGUCGGAUAAGUAUAAACAUAUAACACCAGCUUAAAGCUAUUUUCCGACAAACACAUGUAAAUAAGCUCAACAUAAGUAA